UCUGGGAGUUGUGGUUCCCCAGCUCUCGGCUCUAUAAUAGAAUCAGGCGGGAAAGUGCGGACUACAACCCCCAGCACGCCGCGCCCCGGAAGCCGCCCCUGUCCCGUGAGAAAACAAACCGCUGCUACAGCUUCGGGGUGGGGAAGUCGGGGCAGGUGGACCGCUCACAACGCCGAAGCUGUCUUGUGAAAUGGAGGGGUCCUCACUAGCCAGUUCCAGCGGAGGCUGACGGAAGAAAUGCCAGCAAUGGAUGUGCAGCUACAUGCACGCUUCUAACUCAGAGCUUCUGCGGCGGUGGCGAUCAGGGAAUCUGUGAUGUCAGGGCUGAGGCAGAGCUGAUCGAACAUUCUGGCAACCUUAGUCUUGGACUGAUUCACACUUUCUCCGCGUUCCCUCCGGAGUUUUCUGUGGGGGGAUGAAUAUUGCCUGAGUCUGAUGGACUUGGUUCUGCCUCAGCUUCCCAUGCAGACUUUCUGGAAGAGAAUGGACAGCCCAGAAGGUGGGUGUGUGUAUGUAUGGUGACAAGGGCAGGGGAUGUGUGAUGUGAGCAGGUGUCUGUCUAAUCUAAUUUCUAGGGCAGCAAAUGAUUCUAGGGAAGUUUUGAAGACAGUUCAAAGGGCAGAGAACUGGGAAGAAACGAAAACCAAGAUGACCUAAUACAAAUGAGGGAAGCUUGGCAAAGCCCAGGUGAAACAAUAUAUUAAUAAGUGUGAUUUAUGGAUAUGUGUAAGAUUACUAUUAUAGCUACAAUUUACCAAAUACUCUGUUUCCAGUACUUUAUUUUAAAGUGCAUGAUUCACAAUAUGGUUUUGAUUUUCACGGUGUUCUUAGCUUACAUUGUAUAACUUGCUCAUGGAAUGACUGUGAAUCCCCUGAAUAGAAGCAUACUUAGUUCUGUCCCUGCAGAGCAGAGUAGUGGCUCAAUGCCUUUG